CAUUACUCCUCCACUGAAUCUACAUAAAUCAACAGUUAAAUAAUGUCAGUUCUUCCGUGUUCUCUGGAAUCAAUCACAGUAAAGAAAUUAGACUGUUUCUUUUGAAAAAUGUUGGGAAAGAACAAAUCAAAACAUUCUAUUUAAGGCCUCUGACAUCAAGAUUCAGUUAAACAACAAUUAUAACUAAACAAUUUGAGGUAAUGUUAGUUUCCAUUAACAUUAAAUUAGGUUACUGAAUUGGCAAACACCUUCCUAUUAACAUUACCCAUUUUACCCCAAUAACUAAAGAAAUUAGCACUUGCAGGUCAAAACCUUUAUUCAAGAGACGCAAAAAUAACAUUGAUACAGUGACUGUCAAAAAUUACAGCACUGAUCAUACUGUGACAUCUUGGUUCAAAACAGCACACUUAGAAAUAUUCAACGUUCUUUACUUCAACUGAAUGAAAUUGAAAAUACCAUUUCACACGACCCAUAUGGGAUAUUUAGACUGUAUAACUGUUCACGCUACAUCUCUUCACUAGUAAAAGAAAGAAAAAAUACAAAGAGAAAUUUAAAAAUGCUGCCAAAAUGCUGUACAGAGCAAAAGGAAAAACAAACAACAACAACAAAAACGGCUCGUCCUCAUGGCAGUUGCAGAGUAUAUAAAAAUGAACCCUGCGAUCUGUUCCUGGAAUUGAGCUUCAAAAAUGCAGCAGAACAAGUGUGAGAUUUAAAUGUCCUCUCACCUAGAGCUGAUCAGCUUGCAUGCAUAACAGUGAGCUUCGUUGCAGGAGCAGUUUUGUCUUAGUUGUGAGUUUUUCUUGAGAGCUGAGUUGCAUCCAACUCCAUUACCACCCUUUGAAUCACCUCAAAAGUGUAGCAGAGUUGUGAUGGGUAACUCAUGUUGAAGGAAUAAAAAAGGUCCAAACAGCAUGGCUACUGCAAAGGUCACGUUAUCCAGAUCUUGAAGAACAACAUCAGAAAAGUCAUUGCCUGGCGCAUCUCUGGAGACAGAUGUUCAUUGUGGUUUUCUCAAUCUGUGCAGUGGCCUCAGUCAAGUCCUGGUUAAACACAAAACAUUUCUUUAAGAUUCCUUUUUA
ensembl:lncRNA